rnacentral:ribozyme from 11 species
UUUUUUCAAUUUGAAUCGCUUUUAAUUGAAAAGAAAGAAAAAAAAGAGGCAUUGGUAUGACGAUUUCAUUU